rnacentral:rRNA from 1 species
UCGGGAAUUUUGGGCAAUGGGCGAAAGCCUGACCCAGCAACGCCGCUUGAAGGAUGAAGUAUUUCGGUAUGUAAACUUCGUAAGAAUAGGAAGAAUAAAUGACGGUACUAUUUGUAAGGUCCGGCUAACUACGUGCCAGCAGCCGCGGUAAUACGUAGGGACCAAGCGUUGUUCGGAUUUACUGGGCGUAAAGGGCGCGUAGGCGGUUUGUCAAGUCAGUUGUGAAAUCUCCGAGCUUAACUCGGAACGGUCAACUGAUACUGUCAAACUAGAGUACAGAAGGGGCAAUCGGAAUUCUUGGUGUAGCGGUGAAAUGCGUAGAUAUCAAGAGGAACACCUGAGGCGAAGGCGGGUUGCUGGGCUGAUACUGACGCUGAAGCGCGAAAGCUAGGGUAGCAAACGGGAUUAGAUACCCCUGUAGUCCCUGAGCGGGCUGGCAAGGCGCAU